rnacentral:rRNA from 1 species
UACGUAGGGUGCAAGCAUUAAUCGGAUUUAUUGGGCGUAAAGAGCGCGUAGGCGGGAAGGUCAGUCGAAUGUUAAAUCUCAGGGCUCAACUCUGAAACUGCAUUCGAAACUGCCUUUCUUGAGGUUGGACGGAGAAAGCGGAAUUCCAAGUGUAGCGGUGAAAUGCGUAGAUAUUUGGAAGAACACCUGUGGCGAAAGCGGCUUUCUAGUUUAUACCUGACGCUGAGGCGCGAAAGCAAGGGGAGCGAACAGG